UGGGGAAUAUUGCACAAUGGGGGAAACCCUGAUGCAGCAACGCCGCGUGAGUGAUGACGGCCUUCGGGUUGUAAAGCUCUGUCUUCAGGGACGAUAAUGACGGUACCUGAGGAGGAAGCCACGGCUAACUACGUGCCAGCAGCCGCGGUCAUACGUAGGUGGCAAGCGUUGUCCGGAUUUACUGGGCGUAAAGGGAGCGUAGGCGGACUUUUAAGUGAGAUGUGAAAUACCCGGGCUCAACCCGGGUGCUGCAUUUCAAACUGGAAGUCUAGAGUGCAGGAGAGGAGAGUGGAAUUCCUAGUGUAGCGGUGAAAUGCGUAGAGAUUAGGAAGAACACCAGUGGCGAAGGCGACUCUCUGGACUGUAACUGACGCUGAGGCUCGAAAGCGUGGGGAGCAAAC
rnacentral:rRNA from 1 species